GGAGAGGUGGCAGAGUGGUCGAAUGCACUCGACUUGAAAUCGAGCAUCGCGAAAGCGAUCGGGGGUUCGAAUCCCCCCCUCUCCG
rnacentral:tRNA from 6 species